rnacentral:rRNA from 1 species
CNAUUUGGGGCAGCUAACAAUGCAAGUCGAGCGGAGAGAGGUAGCUUGCUACUGAUCUUAGCGGCGGACGGGUGAGUAAUGCUUAGGAAUCUGCCUAUUAGUGGGGGACAACAUUUCGAAAGGAAUGCUAAUACCGCAUACGUCCUACGGGAGAAAGCAGGGGAUCUUCGGACCUUGCGCUAAUAGAUGAGCCUAAGUCGGAUUAGCUAGUUGGUGGGGUAAAGGCCUACCAAGGCGACGAUCUGUAGCGGGUCUGAGAGGAUGAUCCGCCACACUGGGACUGAGACACGGCCCAGACUCCUACGGGAGGCAGCAGUGGGGAAUAUUGGACAAUGGGCGCAAGCCUGAUCCAGCCAUGCCGCGUGUGUGAAGAAGGCCUUAUGGUUGUAAAGCACUUUAAGCGAGGAGGAGGCUACUUUAGUUAAUACCUAGAGAUAGUGGACGUUACUCGCAGAAUAAGCACCGGCUAACUCUGUGCCAGCAGCCGCGGUAAUACAGAGGGUGCAAGCGUUAAUCGGAUUUACUGGGCGUAAAGCGCGCGUAGGCGGCUAAUUAAGUCAAAUGUGAAAUCCCCGAGCUUAACUUGGGAAUUGCAUUCGAUACUGGUUAGCUAGAGUGUGGGAGAGGAUGGUAGAAUUCCAGGUGUAGCGGUGAAAUGCGUAGAGAUCUGGAGGAAUACCGAUGGCGAAGGCAGCCAUCUGGCCUAACACUGACGCUGAGGUGCGAAAGCAUGGGGAGCAAACAGGAUUAGAUACCCUGGUAGUCCAUGCCGUAAACGAUGUCUACUAGCCGUUGGGGCCUUUGAGGCUUUAGUGGCGCAGCUAACGCGAUAAGUAGACCGCCUGGGGAGUACGGUCGCAAGACUAAAACUCAAAUGAAUUGACGGGGGCCCGCACAAGCGGUGGAGCAUGUGGUUUAAUUCGAUGCAACGCGAAGAACCUUACCUGGCCUUGACAUAGUAAGAACUUUCCAGAGAUGGAUUGGUGCCUUCGGGAACUUACAUACAGGUGCUGCAUGCUGUCGUCAGCUCGUGUCGUGAGAUGUGGGUAGUCCCGCACGAGCGCACCCUUUCCUUAUUUGCAGCGAGUAUGUCGGGAACUUAAGGAUACUGCCAGU